UACGUAGGGUGCAAGCGUUAAUCGGAAUUACUGGGCGUAAGCGUGCGGCAGGCGGUUUGUAAGACUGGUCGUGAAAUCCCCGGGCUCAACCUGGGAAUGGCGAUGGUGACUGCAAGGCUUAGAGUUUGGCAGAGGGGGUAGAAUUCCACGUGUAGCAGUGAAAUGCGUAGAUAUGUGGAGGAACACCGAUGGCGAAGGCAGCCCCCUGGGUCAAAAACUGACGCUCAUGCAUAAAGCGUGGGGGAGCAA
rnacentral:rRNA from 1 species